UUAUCCGGAUAUAUUGGGUAUAAAGGGAGCGUAGGCGGGUGCUUAAGUCAGUUGUGAAAGUAUGCGGCUCAACCGUAAAAUUGCAGUUGAUACUGGGCGCCUUGAGUGCAGCAUAGGUAGGCGGAAUUCGUGGUGUAGCGGUGAAAUGCUUAGAUAUCACGAAGAACUCCGAUUGCGAAGGCAGCUUACUGGACUGUAACUGACGCUGAUGCUCGAAAGUGUGGGUAUCAAACAGGAUAAGAUACCCUGGUAGUCCACACAGUAAACGAUGAAUACUCGCUGUUGGCGAUACACAGUCAGCGGCCAAGCGAAAGCAUUAAGUAUUCCACCUGGGGAGUACGCCGGCAACGGUGAAACUCAAAGGAAUUGACGGGGGCCCGCACAAGCGGAGGAACAUGUGGUUUAAUUC
rnacentral:rRNA from 1 species